rnacentral:rRNA from 1 species
GACGAACGCUGGCGGCGUGCCUAAUACAUGCAAGUCGAGCGAAGUUUUUCUGGUGCUUGCACUAGAAAAACUUAGCGGCGAACGGGUGAGUAACACGUAAAGAACCUGCCUCAUAGACUGGGACAACUAUUGGAAACGAUAGCUAAUACCGGAUAACAGUAUUUCUCGCAUGAGAGAUAUUUAAAAGUUGGUUAUGCUAACACUAUGAGAUGGCUUUGCGGUGCAUUAGCUAGUUGGUGGGGUAAAGGCCCACCAAGGCGACGAUGCAUAGCCGACCUGAGAGGGUGAUCGGCCACACUGGGACUGAGACACGGCCCAGACUCCUACGGGAGGCAGCAGUAGGGAAUCUUCCGCAAUGGGCGAAAGCCUGACGGAGCAACGCCGCGUGAGUGAAGAAGGAUUUCGGUUCGUAAAGCUCUGUUGUUGGGGAAGAAUGGAUAUGUAGUAACUAUACAUGUAAGAGACGGUACCUAACCAGAAAGCCACGGCUAACUACGUG